AUUUGAUGAUGUGGGCAUUGAAUUUGCAACUCGCCAAAUCUUUCCCAAGCUUCAAAGAAUUCCUCCGUAUGCUUUUGUCUAAAAGUUUGGAUCUUGUUUCUUAACU
rnacentral:snoRNA from 1 species